AACACCCAUAUGGAUGUCUCGGUGCUGAACCCACGGUGUCUUGCGUGACAGGGGGGGCGGCUGUGUUUCUGCAGGGAGAGUGGGGUUGGGCAGCGGGGACACGGAUGCGGUGCCACUGCCUUGUGCCCGACCCCGGUGCCCGUUGAUGGAUGGAGCUCACGGGACACGGCUAAGUGACUUACUGCUUUUAAUAUCAGAAACACUCCUUAAACACCGCCCCCCUAGAGCUGAUGAAAUAGCUGUUUAGAAAAAGCCUGCCGAAAGCUGAGACCCUGAGACUUCUAAAGGACCCGAUGAGAGGAAAGCGUGCCAAGAGGUGGAAACUUUCCAACUUCCAAAAGAUCCACUGCGAGGAGGACACUAUCCCAGCUAUUCAAAGGACCCAAUGGAAGAAGAGCAGGACGACUAUCUGAUGGAAAGAGUAUAAGAGACACUGCUUUUAGAACUCGGUGUGCGUUGUGGCAGAGCUGAGGCUCUCUGUGCACCCAGUGCUGCUUUGCCUAUUGUUUCUCACCCUAAAUUGAUUGAACCCAAAUAAAAAUAUCUACUUUUUAUAAA